rnacentral:rRNA from 1 species
CCUACGGGAGGCAGCAGUGAGGAAUAUUUGUCAAUUUUCUUACUCCUUAACCAGCCAAGUCGCGUGAGGGAAGACUGCCCUACGGGUUGUAAACCUCUUUUGCCAGGGAGCAACGCCGGCUACGUGUAGCCGGACUGAGAGUACCUGAAGAAAAAGCAUCGGCUAACUCCGUGCCAGCAGCCGCGGUAAUACGGAGGAUGCGAGCGUUAUCCGGAUUUAUUGGGUUUAAAGGGUGCGUAGGCGGAAUGCCAAGUCAGCGGUAAAAGCGCGGGGCUCAACCGCGUUCCGCCGUUGAAACUGGGGUGCUUGAGGGGGCGAGAAGUAUGCGGAAUGCGUGGUGUAGCGGUGAAAUGCAUAGAUAUCACGCAGAACUCCGAUUGCGAAGGCAGCAUACCGGCGCCCAACUGACGCUGAGGCACGAAAGCGUGGGGAUCGAACAGGAUUAGAUACCCGUGUAGUC